UACGAAGGGUGCAAACGUUGCUCGGAAUCAUUGGGCGUAAAGCGCACGUAGGCGGCCCUGUAAGUCGGAUGUGAAAUCCCUCGGCUCAACCGAGGACGUGCACCCGAAACUGCAGAGCUCGAGUAUGGAAGAGGGUCGCGGAAUUCCCGGUGUAGAGGUGAAAUUCGUAGAUAUCGGGAGGAACACCAGUGGCGAAGGCGGCGACCUGGGCCAAUACUGACGCUGAGGUGCGAAAGCCAGGGGAGCAAACGGG
rnacentral:rRNA from 1 species